AUUGAACGCUGGCGGCGGGCCUAACACAUGCAAGUCGAACGUGGGGCGGACGGGGGAGUAAUGUCUGGGAAACUGCCCGAUGGAGGGGGAUCACUACUGGAAAAGAUAGCUAAAAAGGCAUACAAGGGGAUGUGGCGAGACGGGGUUGGCUUGUAGGUGAGGUAACGGCUCACCUAGGCGACGAUCCCUAGCUGGUCGGCGAGGAUGACCAGCCACACUGGAACUGAGACACGGCCCAGACUCCUACGGGAGGCAGCAGUGGGGAAUAUUGCGCAAUGGGCGAAAGCCUGAUGCAGCCACGCCGCGUGUGUGAAGAAGGUUUUCGGGUUGUAAAUUUCUUUCAGCGGGGAGGCGUUACCCGCAGAGGAAGCACCGGCUAACUCCGUGCCAGCAGCCGCGGUAAUAC
rnacentral:rRNA from 1 species